rnacentral:lncRNA from 1 species
AUAUUUUGCAAAACUCAGAUACAGUAAACGCAGAGCAAGAAAGAGCCCAAUUUUUACUUGAAGCAGACAGUAUUCAGACCACUUGCUACAACCAGAUAUAUUUAUAUAGAAAAAAAGGAAACCCAAUUUAGCUCUCAUUCAAUCAAGGUCGAAAAAUUCUCAUGGUUUUUGAUACUUGGAGGCGGCAGAAUGGGCACCUUGAAACUGCAGAGGAGCAUGUCCUACACAGUACAUGACCACAAGGAAUCAACGAAACAUCGACUUCGUUGUUUAAACACACCCGGCACGACCAUGCUGCUUUUGCUGUAUCUGCUUCUUUGGUGGCCAUGUCUGACUUCUCCUGCAUAAAUAAUGCCAAAUACAACCGUUACUUAUAUGCACCUAAGUUACCAAAAACCGAGUGCCAUGAAACUAGAAUGUUUUAUAACAACACAGAUCUCUCAAUAAGUAGAAGCUCUGUGAGAAAGGAAACCAAUAACCCCAUCAAACAAUUCAUCUCUGCAGCUUCUCAAACAAAAUACAGAUAGACACUGGUUGAUGUCCACGUGACUAUAAAGCCCGCAUAAGGAAACUUACUAAUCUAAUUAAAUACAAUCAUAAUAUUACAGGUGGUAAAUGACAACACAUGCACAUAUACGCAUCUGAAAUUACUGUAGAGGAGAAUCAGACACCAUACAGAAAAAAAGGCUCCAGCAGAUUGCUAAAUAUAAUACUGCUACUAAUUUAUGGCUCCCUAAGCAGGUAAGGAUUUAAUAAUUCCACUGUAGUCCAAGAAAUAUGACUAAGGAAUAUAUUAAGGAGUUUUCAGUUUUCCUUCAAUCAUGCAUGCCAUGUUGCAGAGAUUAUGGAAAAGAUAAAAACCUGUUCAAGCAGUAAUGCAGCCUGAGAUUCUUUAAGUUGUUCUUGUAGUGUUAACGAUGUCUGUAAUAGUGUCUGCUUUUCCACAUCUAGACUAAUGCCAGCUGAUGAAAGCAUCUCAUGCACAGCUUGGACUAAAUUCGGCUGCUGAUACUCGACCAUGCUGAAGGUCUUGCACAGGCUGUGGCUGCCAGUGAUGAACAUGAUAAAUAAAUAAUAUAUAAGCAAAAGCACCAAAUCUAGAAGUUAAAUUAUAGAAGAUACAGAAGAAGACAUAGAACUAUAGACAAAUAANACUUUUAAAAGUCUUAAACGAAUACACCCUAGACUUUUAAAAUACCAUAGAAAUCCAUCAAAUUCCAGAACGAAUACACCCCCUUAGUGUGGGCUUUGCUAAACAUUAAAAUGAUCUAUUUAAUUAUUUUAAUUUUCAAUAUUCUUAAUUAAUUUAAUUUUAAUAAUUUAAAUUAAUAUAAUUUUAAAUUACGAAAAUGUGUUAUUUAAAUUGGGCAUUUAAAUUAAAUUAAAUAUAAUUUAAAUUAAUGCAAUUAAAUGAAAAAGGCAAAAAUCAAAACUAAUGCAUAUGAGCCAACAUGAUAAGCCAGACCAAUGCAGACUUGGCUCACAAGUGGUCCCUAGGCAUUGAUGAGUCAACAACUGAAUCAACGGAUUUGGACGCUCUUAAGUGCUUAUUUUCUCUUGUUAUCAGAAUUAAAUAUACAAUACUAUGUAAUAUGAAUACUAUAUACAAUAUUUUGCAAAACUCAGAUACAGUAAACGCAGAGCAAGAAAGAGCCCAAUUUUUACUUGAAGCAGACAGUAUUCAGACCACUUGCUACAACCAGAUAUAUUUAUAUAGAAAAAAGGAAACCCAAUUUAGCUCUCAUUCAAUCAAGGUCGAAAAAUUCUCAUGGUUUUUGAUACUUGGAGGCGGCAGAAUGGGCACCUUGAAACUGCAGAGGAGCAUGUCCUACACAGUACAUGACCACAAGGAAUCAACGAAACAUCGACUUCGUUGUUUAAACACACCCGGCACGACCAUGC